GGCAGAUUCUUCACAAAUGGUUAAACACCAUCUUUGUAAUGCUGUCCUUCUGACAGUGAGUUUGCUUCAUGGUUUAGGAGCUUUGAGAUUUGAAUACUGGCCUGCUGGGUUUUGGAUGUGCAUUGGGCCUGUGGUCCCAUUUGUGUUAUUUUUCUGGGAAAUUUCUUCCCUUUGGAGUGAGAAAGCUUACCCAAUGCCUGUACCAUCAUCGUACCUUAAAAGAACUCCAUUUUAAGUUCAGGGACUCAUUGGCAGAAGAGACCGUAGCCUUGUAUCAGAUAAGACUUUGAACUUCUUACAUUUGGGUUAACGCUGGAAUGAGUUAAGGCUUUUGUAAACAUUUGAAAAGGCAUGACUGUAUUUUACUCUGUGAGAAUGACAUGAGAUUCGGGGGAGGGGGUCAAGGUCAGAAUAAUAUGGUUUGGCUGUGUUUCCCUAGAAAAACUCAUGUGGAAUUGCAGUCCCGAAUGUUGGAGGUGGAGCCUGGUGGGAG
rnacentral:lncRNA from 10 species